rnacentral:lncRNA from 1 species
AAGUCAAUGUUCCUGUAUCACAUGGAGUCAGCCACCCUGAAUAAAUAUUGUAUUGCAAUAAUGAACACUAACACUGUUUGAUUAAAGGUAACAAACUUUACUUUCAAAUAUUCUGUACUUUUAAUCUUCUUUUGUGUGUCACAUUUCAGCUCUGAUCUUAUACAUUUAAACUUAACUAUCAUUACGUAAAUAUAGAAUUAGAAAGUAGGAAAUAAUUAGUUUUGUUCAACAUUUUGUGUGUAUUUUGAUCCAGAUUAUUUAUUUUUUCGUGUUAUAUUUUUUAUUUUAUUGCUUUUAGUUACAAGUUUGGAAAUUAAAACUUUUUAUACAUGUUAACAUAUGCAUAUUUGGAGUUAUUAUAAAAUGUCUUGUGAAAUUAUCAGUGAGUUUUGUAAACAGGAAAGUGUCUGGUAUUAGUGGAUGUGUAAAGGAUUUCUAAAUUUACAGAUACUUAUAACUUUUUUUUUAUUACAAAUGUCAAAAAUUUUUUAAACAUUUUCACAAUAUUUGGAUCAUCAGAUAUUAUAGUCAAACAUUUGGGUUAAGAUCCAGUUUAAAAUUAAUGUUCAUGUGAUCUUAUGUUUCUCUAAAAUAAUGUUUUCAAGAUGUUUUUUUCUAAGUGUUGAGUUCAUAUAUAUAUAUAUAUAUAUAUGCUUAAUAAUAAUAAUAAUCUUUAUGCCCAUUUUCAAGUAACAUUGUUGCUUAGAUUUUAUUUUCAGAAGAUAAUGAUGUGAAAAUACUGCUUUAUGUGACUUUAUCCACUGUAUUGAUAACAAUUAGUAAUGUUCUUAUAAUUGAGUUUCAAAAGAGAUUUUUUUGUCAAGAAGCUUGUACUGUAUGACUUUUUACUUUACCAUAAUAGCCAAUGUUACAUUGGAUAUCUUUGUAUGAUUUUCUUCAAUGAUCUUUAAAGACUCCAGGUGCUGAACAAUAAUAUUCUACUUUUUAAAUGAAGAAUGACAACUACGUUUUCUAGGCUACUCACACUCUCAUCAUUGUUUAAACUAAAAUGACUCUGUCUGAAGUGAUCAUUCAAUUUCUUAUCAGUUUCUUUGGGUCCUUUAUUCCAGACAACUUGUACACUAGUGUUUUGUUGCAUGGGAUACAAAAAGCCUGGUCAGCUACAUUUAAUUUCCAAAGGUAUUUCUUCUUUUAUCACAAACUCCAUCUGUAAUUAACAUAAAUGUUACUGUAAUUAUCCUUCUAGAAUUUCAUUUGUCUAUGUUCAUAUCCGUUCUCCCAGUACAAACUUGGGCAAAGGUUCCUCCUAGCCUAGGCCGUUUUAUCAAUUUUGUAUAAUUAAAAAGGCCUAACAAAAUAAAAUUUGAUAUUAGAUGUAAAUAUAUAAAUUAUAAAACAACUCACCUUUAAAUUCAUACAAUAUUGUAGUUUCAAAUAUAGAUGAUAUCUCCAACUUUCAGAUAUGUUUUGAAAUUCGUGCCAGCCGUCAGGUAGUAUAAUAUGGAAAUUUCCAAGUAUACUGAUUAUAUUGAAAUAGUUAGUCACAGUUUAUACAAUUGGAUAAUGAAUAUAAAACAACCAAUCAUUAAUUCUUCUGAAAGUAGAAGUGCUUGCCAAAAUGGCUGCUCUGAUAAACUACACUUUCUACAAGACAAUUCUACAUCAAUAUGUAGGCUAUACUUUCCCCACCACUUUCUCUUCAAAUGUAUGCAACUUUCAAAAAUCGCCCUUGGGACUUCAAAUCUGGAUUUUUGCACCAAUCCAGAAAAUUCCUAUGUCUGAUGUUCGAUUUUAAAAAUAAAUAAAAUUAUUGUGAGUUUAUUAUAAUUGUAGUUCAACAAUGUGUAAUUCAGGUGAAUUUUUAAAAAUGUAGUUUAUUGUUCCAGAAAAGUUAUUACUUUUAAAACACUAAGAAAUAUUUCAUUGAAAAUUUCAUGAAAAUGAUUUUGAGAAGAUUUUUUGUCAUUCACACAACAAGCAUUAAAAAAUUUUAAAUUUGGGACUAUCUCAUAAAUUCUAGAUGUAAAAAGAAAUUAAAUAUCUAAAAGUGGAUUAACAGGAAAAUAAGCAGUAGAGUGUGGUUAACUUCAGUGAAAUACAGAUCUUUUUAUAUUUCUGUUAUCCCAUUUUUAACUUGUUCUUUUGAUUUAGUAGUUUCAGGAUACUUACAUAUUAUUCAAAAAUCUUUGAGUGAAUUAAAUGUUUGAACCACAACUGUCAACCUCUAUAUUCAAAAUAACAAAAGUUAUAUCAAAGUUAAGAAUAGUGUGAUGUACAGAUCACUGAUUGCAAUGAAAGCUUACCAACUGACUCCCAAGAUGACACUUAUUAUUGCACAAAUAAUGUACCAUAAUUUUAAUUUCAGUAGCCUGAUAAAUGCCAAACUUGUAUGAUGCAUUUCUUAACACUUGGAACAUUCUCUUUUUAAUCACAAUCUUACUUUUGUUUUUAAUGCAAAAAAAAAAGUUUUAUUUAGUAGUAGUAGUUUCAAAAAUUUAUCUGUAAAUAUUGUUGGUGUUUUUUAUGCUGAAGGUGUUACGCAGUAUUUUGGAAUAUUUUCAUCACGGAAUAUUGAAAUAUGAAUUUCAUAAAGUGAAAUAUUUUUGUGUUAUUGGUAUGUUAAUGUUUUAUUAACAAGCUGGCUUACAGCAAAUACUGUACGUAGAACUUACAAUUCAGUAGCUUCCUUUUUAAUCCAUAACACUAGUCUUAUAUCUGUAAUCAAGAGCAUUUGAAAAUAUUAAAUAAGGUUCAAAGUCAAUUUGAGCUCUUCUUUAAGAUUUUUUUAUGUUCUUUCAAAUGGGUAUAGCUGUAAUAAAAGAUUUUUUAUCAUUUUUAUUAAUAUGUUGUGAUAAAUACAAAUAUUUGCAUAAUUUUCUAACACCUCAAACUCGACAUUUACACACUUGAAGCCAAAUAUACACAUGGUUAUAUAAGUAGCCAUUCUCCAUGAAAAAAGAACAGUUGCAUUUUGGUUUAUUUGUAUUAGGGAUGAUGGUGUAAAAAUUCAUGUGUGUGUGCUUGUGUUCAAAUGUGUAUGGUAUAACAAUAUUAACUAGCCUCGUAUCGUGUCGUAACAAAGUUACAGUUAUACAUAUGUACUUCCAGUUACUUUAUUAAGUGUAACCCCAUGGUUGCUGUCAAAUUAUAGAAUAAGAAGUCUUUUCCUAAACACACUGACACUUCUUGUCAAGAUUCCAAUUCUAUUUUGUGCAUUAACUUCAUGUACAGGUAAAAUAUGCCACUGAACUAUAAGGUUGCUCCCUUUUAAGUGAAUUUUUAAGAUGAUUCCCUUGUUUUUGUUUCUAUUUACAAACUAUAUUACAGUUUUGUGUGUGUGUGUUAUUUUAAGCUUCCAUUUCACUAUGACAGUGGAAAUGAGCAUGUUCUGUAACCUUCAUGUAAAACUCAAUAAACCAGUGUUGUCAUUACCA